CUCGCUCUGAUACCAACUGUUAGGUCCGUAUAUAGGGAUAAUUAAGCUAGAAGGGGGGGGGGUUGAACAAAAAAUUUAAAGAAAAAAAAACUAAAUAAUAUAGGCCUGACAAGUUCUAGACUGAGGCCCACAGCAUAUAGUGUUAGGUCCGUAUAUAGGGAUAAUUAAGCUAGAAGGGGGGGGUUGAAUAGCUUAAUCACCAGUUUAAAAACUUUAUGGCGUUUUAAAAAGUUUAUCCCCUUUUUAAAAGCUUGUAUCUAGAGUAAUGGCAGUUGUAAAUGCGGAAGCUAAAAGCAAGGAAAGAAAAAUACCACACGAGGGAUUUUAUCCUGGUUCGCGGUGGCUAACUCAACCGAUGGAGUCCACUCACCCCUAGUCCAGUCCCCGAGCUCCUCCCCGGACUCGAGAUUUUCUCUACUAAAAAGAUACUCCUUUAAAGUAGGCGGAGAAGCCUUUACAAAUAUAUAUCUUGGAGCGUAACUUCCCGUUACCUCCUCACUAUAAAUGUAAAAACACCUACAAAGCUUGUCUCGGAACGUAACUCCCCGUUACUUCCUCAAAGUCGAUGUAGAACCUUGUGUAGUCUUUGUACUUCUACACCUUUUGCCGGUCUUGGGUCUUAGGUAUUAGAUCUCGGGUCUUUCCUCUUCUUCACGGUGCAAUGACUAUUAACUCCCCGUCAAUACGUCAAGGACUUGGGUCUUAGAACGAAGAUCACCUCACUUCACUUCACCUCACUGCAAAAGUUAGAACACAAUAUCUACGAAAAUAUAUCCUUGUUUUAAUAAGAUUUUAGUCCGCUAAGUAAGUCCAAUAAUCACGGUCAGGUAUAAGGUUUGUCAAUUAUAACAAGUCCAACGGUGAUUAGUCCAACAAGUGUCCAACAACAGUCCAACAAUUUAUAUUGCGCGGAAAAUAUAAAUAGUUGAUUUUAAGUCGGAUUGAUUUUAAUAACCUGAGCAAACCGCGUACGGGCAAGCUACGAGAGUUAUAUUAAUUAGUGUGGAGUGAUUUAUAAAUAUAAUACGCAGUCGAUAAUCACACUCACACACACGGGAUCGGGAACCGCUAAACUCGUAAGGUUAGUAUUUCCACGAAGCACAGCACAUAUGGAAACGUUCACCAAACGAGAAAGGGUAUGUUGGGCGUAGGGAUAUAAUCAGUUAAGCACAGAUAACACGCACAACAAUAACUAACUUAUUACCUUUGGCCUUAUAUCCGGCUUUCCGUGCCAAGGCAAAGAUCCCUCCAAAGUUUGGUGAGGAAAUCUCAAAGGAUACGAGUUAGGUUCCGGGACAAAACACACGCACAAAUAUAUAACGAGUGGCUAACUCGUGCGUUUUGUAAAGAGAGCUUUAAAGAUGAAAAGGAUAUNNNNNNNNNNNNNNNNNNNNNNNNNNNNNNNNNNNNNNNNNNNNNNNNNNNNNNNNNNNNNNNNNNNNNNNNNNNNNNNNNNNNNNNNNNNNNNNNNNNNNNNNNNNNNNNNNNNNNNNNNNNNNNNNNNNNNNNNNNNNNNNNNNNNNNNNNNNNNNNNNNNNNNNNNNNNNNNNNNNNNNNNNNNNNNNNNNNNNNNNNNNNNNNNNNNNNNNNNNNNNNNNNNNNNNNNNNNNNNNNNNNNNNNNNNNNNNNNNNNNNNNNNNNNNNNNNNNNNNNNNNNNNNNNNNNNNNNNNNNNNNNNNNNNNNNNNNNNNNNNNNNNNNNNNNNNNNNNNNNNNNNNNNNNNNNNCAGACAGCUAGAAAACGCAGAAAAACGAAAGUUCUCGAAAAAUUCCGAAACUUUUACCAUGCAUUAAGAAUAAUAUAUAACUGGCUAAUCUCAAGUUUCAAGUCAAUUUGGCAAGUGGAAGUAUUUUAUUUGGAUUUAAAACGAUUAAAUCAGCCUUUCGGGUUUCGAAUAAAAUACGACAAUUCUUUUGAAAUAUCCGAAGAGGAAUUUAGGCCAAACUUAAAACUUGAAUAAAUACUUAAAAUAUAUUCCCAUAAAGAUAAAAUACUUUGGUGGGUUGAGAACUAUUUUAAAGUAUUUAAGCCGAUUUUUCUAAGAUUUAAACUGGUUUAUGAAAAACCGAAACAAUUCGUCUUUUAAAUUCUCGAGAAGACCUUUUGACGAAUAUUUUGAUACCAAAAUACUUAGAAAUAAAGUGUUCAUUAUAAAUCAUGAUUUUGAUACAUUGAAAAGCCUUUCUAAGUAUUGUGAAUAUUUUUCUCCGAAAAAUAAAGAAUUUGAGAGACCGGGAGAAAAUAUUCCAAAGGUAUAUUUAAAAAUGAUAUUAAUAUGAAGAAGAUAAAUCCUUUAAUUAGAAAAAUUAAAUCAUUGAAGAUCAAAGGAUUUAUGAUUUUAAAAGAUUUAAAAUAAUUUAUUCCGAGAGAUAAUAAAACAUUUAAAUAUGGAAUAAAUUACUUUAAAUGAAAUAUUUUUGUUUUAGUGUCACAUGAGUGGUCUAAAGAAUAUCACACAAGGAUAAUCCUUUUUCGAGCUUCAUGUAUUUUGAUGUUGCAAUAGGAAGAUGAAGGACAUCAUAUCUUACGAUUCCUCAACAUGCAUAUUGCGAAACAAAAAUAUUCCUUUAGAAAUAAAUGUAUUUUUAGUACGAAGGAAUAAACAAGUAUUUAAAAAGACUUGCCAAAAAUAACUCUUAACUUUUGAUUAAUCAAUUAAAUCAAUGACCUAUUGGGAGGAUUACUAAGUGAAUUUAAAUUUAAUGUUUAUCACAAAUACCAAAACAAAUAUAAAUAAAUUUAUAUCGAAGAUAUCCUUUCAAUCUUCCCCUUUUUGGUACUUGUCAAAUAAACAUAAAAUUUAAAUUUUAAAAGUGUGUGCUUCCCCUACGUGUAUGCAUGAAUAAAAACGCCUAGGGCUGAAUAAAAACAUUUUUAUCUACACAAAUAGGAGCAAGUAAUCCUUCAAAGUUUUUAGGACAAUUCCUGCAAAAACAUUGAUUAGUACCACAUUAAAAUAGAUCGUUAUUUUUGGAAGUAUCAAAAUUUUAAAUUUUGAACGUUCAACAUUUCUUCUUUUCCUUUAAAAUGUUGACGUUUCUCUUCCCCUUUUAUUUGAUAAAGGUACCAAAAACAUAUCUUCUUCCCUUAAAAAUCCAUCCCUUUGAAAUAAAUAAUUCCAAAUAUAAAAGUAAACAGAUAAUUGAACUUCUGUUUAAUUCCAUUCAUUCAUGUACUUGAAGUCAGAUGGGCUGACUUUGGAAAUAAUAUAUGCUGGAAUAAUUCAGGGAAAUUUCUCUUUUUCCUUUGAUUCAAAGAUAUGGACUUCACUCGAUGUGUGUUCGAGUUCUUUUUCCUUUCUUUUUCAGUUAUCUUUUACUCGAAUCAAUUAAAGAAAAUAUAUUAUAUUCGAAUUUUUAAUGUAUUCGAAUUUCAAUUCCUUUAUUCGAAUUAUAACUUGUAUUCGAAUUUCUCUUCCCAUUUUGAUUUCGAAUUUCCCUUUUCUUUUGGAAAUCAAUUUAUUUUCGAGUAAUAUUUAAUAUUAAGAUUGAGAGAAUUUUCUUUUCGAAUCUUUAUUUUUAUUUUCUCUAUCAAUCGAAAUAAAUCCAUCCGUUAUAUUCCCACAUGCAUAAAGUAAAUGUGUGUGCAUGUGUGAAGUAUAAAUAACGAGACAAACAAAAUAUAUAAAGCAGGAUUUUUAAUAUAUAGUACCAAAAUUAAUUCUUCUAGAUCAGUGUGGUUCACUGAUUUAAGAAGAAUAAAUAACCUGCAUGGGUUAUAGAUACAAGUGCUCCACGAGCUGAUAAUAUCCUGAUACAGAAACAAAAGCAGACAAACAGAACUUUUCUUGAACCGACAGUACCAAGAGCUAGUCAACGAACAUCCAGUCACCCAACAGUCACGUGCAUAUUACUUUAGGGAACAUCAGUAACCACUCCAAGCUCAGAGGAGAAUUCAUUUAUCUCAGGCAGGGACCCAGUAUCAUCUACAACAGCAGAGGCAAUUAACUCUUUUUCCUUAAUCAUUUUAUUAAUCUCAGAGUUAACUUCCUCAUAAGUAAUUUCUUGUGCUACUCUUUUUCCCUUAGCCUUAUCUAGCUCAGUAGUUACCUCCAAAUAUUUAGUCUUUAAAUCCUUAAUCUUAUCAUUUGAAUCUUUUAGCAUUAUUUUAAGGAUUUCAUUUUCCCUCAUGUAAUCAUGCGUGAUUUCUUCCUUAGCUCUACCUACAGGAAUACUCCUAUACGGUUUAAUUUCCUCAAGUGGGACCUUAGGAACUACUAUCUUUUCAACAUUACAGUAGUCAAUCCUAUUAGCAUGGCCCCUAGGCAUAGGAAUACUAUACAGCUCAAAAACCGUAGUUAACAGCAACCCGUAAGGCAUAAAAGCCAAUUGAUAAGCCAGAAACAUAUGCAAGAUAAGCACAUAGAUAAUGUUGAACUCAACUUUGUUAAUAACUAACUGAUACAUCACUUUUAAAUCAGCAAAGUCGAAAUAUUGAUCAUUAUCCGGUUUCGGCAGAAUAUUAGCCCUAAUAAUCAUAGCAAGUUGUUGAUAUUCGGGCAGAAAAUGCUUAAAAGGUAUCCCACAAUCAGCAACACUUAAUCCAGUUGGCACAAGCUCCCCACAGAAAAAGCUAAUAAAUUUUUCAAAUUCAGUUUGAUUGAAUUUAAAUAAUUCAUAGAUAUUUGAGCAUGUUUGGGGGAAUAGUUCGGGACUAAGUUGUAAAGCUCUACACAUAACAUGAAAGUUCACGUGUAUUUCCUGAUUAUUAACCACUGAACUUAUAUCAAAUAUCCCAUUAUCAUCCUUUUUAGUUACCAUAUUAGCAUAAAAUUCACCCAUUAAAUGUGGAUGGUAACUCUGUCCCCGAUAAAAAACAAUAUUACCCCACUUACUAUUCAUCAGUAUGUUGAAGGCAGGACACUGCUUAGGCACGUAAGCCAUCAUCCCGGGCUGGACAGCCUUCAUCAUUUUUCCUAAUUUCCCAACGUUAGACAGAUUCACCAACCGCGGCACCGUCUGACUCAGAUUAUUUUUCCUCCUCUGAUAGGUUAAGGUAGGGGCAGGAGGAUUGGGGUAGUUGUGUUUGUGAGGUUUUUGGUUGGGGUAGUAGGGAAAUGCAGGGGCUGGUGGAGUCCCGGUAUUAUAUCCCGUGGGAUAAAAGUUGGGGAAAGGAUGAUUGUGUAGUGGAUUUGGGUUAGUGAUGGGGUGGUAGGGUUUGGCAUUUGGGUUAAGGUGGUGAUUGGUUUUGUGUCUUUUAGGGUGUGAGGAUUGGCUUUGGUGGUAGUUUCGGUUGUGAUUAAGGGAAUGAGGUUGAGGUUCAAGUAGAUCAGGGUGGUAAACGGGAUCACGGUUAGGGUUAGGGUUGGAGAGUUGUUUAAACUCCAUGGUUUAAACGGUAGGGGAAAGUUGGGUAUUUAGGUGUAAAGGUGUAAAGUGAAAGUGAUGGGGGCAGUUGCCUUAAAUAGGCAAUUACUAAGGCCUGUUUGGGUAAGGGAAUAAGAGAAUAAGUGGAAAGUGACACUGCCGAGUGUCUGUAUAUGUGUUUGAGUUUUAAAAAAUAUGUUCCUAUGUGGGUGGGGUCUGUCCAAAAAGGUAUGCAUUAACUCUUCUUAAAUGCAUUACAGGUUAAGGACAAGGUGAGGUAAGCAGAGGAGAUGCAAAGGACAUCUCUGGGUUGUCACAGAGGAGAAACUUCUCAAGUCAAAGACGCCAGUUUCAGAUUUUAACCAUUUUUAGUAUUAAAAAACUUCUGAUUAAGUUUUCGAAAAUCAGUUGGACUGACUGAUGUGAUAAGCAUCAAGACUUUUUGACAAAAACCAUUUAGCACAUAAGAGGUCGAGGCACAUAAGUUUCAAUUUUAGAGAUUUAAAACUUGUUCAUCCAAUAUUUUUGUAAAUGCAGUUCACUCAGAUCGCUUGGGAAAUCUCCCAAGUCUAUUGUGGCCAUCUUACUCCCCAGUGCUCCAGAUACUGGGAGUCUCAGGGACCCCAAGCCAAGUCUUAGGGAGUUAGGCAUGUGUGUGUUAGUGUAUUCAUUUUAACAAGCAUUGAUUGUUAUUAAGCCAGAAUACAAAAACAAUUUUAACACAUUCAAUUUGUCACAAAAUACCAAUAAAAUCAAUUUGAAUCCAUUUAAUGUAAGUCAGAGUUUUUAUACAGCUUAAGGACAUGAUUUUCAAACAUCUCAGACUGACAUGGCAACUAGCAAAAUCAGGCAACAGAUUAAGCAAGAAUCAAAGAUAUACAUUUUCAUAUGGAAGUCUCAAGUCGGUUUUUGAGAAAAUUUCGAUUUCUUAAAAAGUCGAAAAAAACUUAAUGAUUUUACGAUCGAAAUAUAUGAAAAACAUUUUGUCCGAUUAAUCAACAUUCAUAACAGGAUUGUCUUGAGCAAUUUCAAUUUUAAGGAAAAUCGUUUUUAUUCGAUUAUUAUGAAAACACACAAAUUUUUUUUUUUUGCACAAAAUCCAGCAAAGCAAUAUGGCACAGUCACAAAUAUCAUCAAACAGUCAUGGCACUAUCCAUUAUAUGGCAUGUUAUUCAAUUAGCAUAUUUAUGUGCCAUCCAUGCAUUUAAUCGAAUAAAAUCCAUCCGUUCCCAUAAAUCAUUUCCUGCAAAAAUACUCGACGACUAAGUUAGAAGACUUAUCUCUGUUAAAGGCAUAAAUCAGGCAAUUACACAUAGAAACAGAGAUGCAGAUGACAAAAAAAUUCAGCAAGCUUAAUUUCACAAAUAAUCAGUCAAGCGUAAUUUCAUCAGGACAAGACAUAUUUACCCAUUUUUAGAGCUUAACUCAGAUAAUCAAUUUAACGUAGCAUGUCACAAAAUCAUUCUGCUAGAACUUUAUAUAACUAAUGUAACAUUAUGUCAAGUGAACCUAAGCCACAUUCAGCAGCUCAAAUAGCAUACGAUUCUAAACAAGACUUCACAAAUCUUAAGACAUAACUCGAUUAACAGAUCCAGUAUCAUUAUCCGAAAUCAUUUUUCUAGCAACACAAGACAUUUCAGGUGGACAAACCAACGAAAUUGGGUUAUUAAGCAGGCAAAUCAUAUAUAUUUCCAUAUUUCAGCAUACAACAUAACAGACUCAACUAAAUCCAAAUACAGUUUAUAUCCAAAAUUCACAACAAACCAACUCAUGGAUAUUAUCUCAUUUAACAGAGUGGAACACUCAAAUUUCAGCAAAUUUUAAUCAUAAAUCGCAUAUAUCACAUGAGUCAGAUGAAAGAUAAUAGCAUGCACUUGAGUUAACAUAUCUUAAGGGAGACUUACCUGAGCCAAGGUUGUGAUCCUCUUGGACUUACCAAACUGGCAUAAUAAGUAAGAUGGAGAGGUAGAAUUCUUUUAGCGAGCUACAAACGUCAUCUGGCUCUAAGUCGCUCCAGAUCAUUUCGCCGAGUCAAGAGAUUUUCACAGCCAUCAAUCUCAACUCAAGGUCGAGUUAGGGUUCGAAACCCCGAACUCUCGAAGCGCUUGAAUCGCCCUUGAGUCGACUGAUUUGGUCGAAAUAGUACUCAAUUUAACUAGGGUGCUUAACAUAACUCGUCGAACCCUCGAGAUCGAGUUAGGGUUUGUAAACCCUAACUCUCAGAUGUGUUUGAAUUACAUCUCGAGAGUGAGAACAGAGUCGAAUUAAGCCCCAAUACACAUCCAAGCUUCCAAAUAGGAGCAUCGACAACGAGGGUUUAAAAACCCCAAUUUAAACAUCUGCAAAACCUCAAAAUAAUUAAUCGAUAUAAGCUCCAUGGACUCCGAUCUUUCCAUUCCUGCACAAAAGAACUUGAAAUCGUGUUAGUAUUUAUUCAAAAUCAAAACCCUAGAAAUAGGGUUUCAUCAAAACACACGAAAUCAAGACAACCGGUGUGGAUUUAUCCACUAAUGUGCGAUUCAGACCUUUACCCAUCAUCAAUUAAGACGAUGAUGAGUUUCAGUGGUCGAGAAUCAAAUCUUUCUUACCCAAGCCCUUCGAGAGUCUUACAAAACUAAGUAUAAGACCCAAGAUGUGUGUAGAAUCAAGAAGUGUUUGAGAAAUAGAAGAAAAUCGCCAUGAGUUUCUAGUCGGAGGCUCGCGAUUUCUCUAGAGAACACUCGAGAAUACGAGAGCAGCCGAGAGAAAACGAAGAAAAGGCGUGAGAGAAAAUGACUACAGUGAUGUGUACUGUAUAAUAUAUAUAUAAACCUAUGUGAAUGGCUGAGAUGAUUUAGGGUUAUAGACAAUGGCUAGGAUUGAAAGUUUUGAUCGGGCCGGGUUCAAUCAGUUUCAAGUUGGGUUUUGAUUUAUACGAGCUGGGCUUGGUACAAGACUGAAAAGAAACAAAUUUAUUCGGACCAAUUCAAACAGAAUUUGGGUUUUGAAAUAAAUUUUGGCUGCAAUUUGAAUAUAUAAAACUGGAUAAAUUUUUGAUUUAAAAACAAUGAAGCCCGAAAUACAAUUAUUUUGUCCGAAUAAAAUAUCAAUAAAUAAUAAAUUAUCCUCUUAUUGUAACAAAUUAUCCAAUUUUGAAAAGUAAUAUCUUUUUAAGAAUAUACUGGAUAAAAUAUUAUAAAGAGCGAUAAUCUAUAGAUAUUAAUCCUAAAUAUCUAAAAACAGAAAUUACAGGAAUAAAUAAUAUCUUGCAUUACAGUACAAAUUUAUCCAAUUUUCGAAAGAUAAUAUAUUUAAAAUAUUGUUGGAUAAACUUGCUAGCAAAAUAAUAUUAAUUCUCCUUCCAAAUAUUUCCAUAUAAAAAUAUUCAUCCACUUGAAAUAAAUAAUUGAAUAUUCGGAUAAAUAUAUUCAUUAAAUAUGGUAUGAUUAAGAAGUAAAUAUUUUGGCAAAAGAUAAUUCUUUUAUACAUAGAACAAAUGCCAUAUAAUUAGUAUCUUAAAAACAUUUUUGAUAAAUCAAAAAUAUUCGCUCGCCUAAGAAUUAUCAUCAAUACUUAAAAUUCUCUAGUGAUAGCUCAUGAAUAUCCGAUCAAUAAAUUUCUUUAUUGACAAAUCUGAAUUUUCAGAGUGCACACAAGAAAAUUAAUUGACAAUAUUUCUUACACGUAAGAUGACUAAAAACAUGAUAAAUAUUCUACCAAGAAUAUUUAAUGAAUAAUAGGCCAAAAUAUUACUUAUUGUGUUCCAGCAUUCCUAAAUCCAAUCGGAGUUUAGCGAAUCUUUCGGAACCUAAAGGCUUUGUGAAAAUGUCUGCGAUAUUAUACUCAGUUUCAAUAUGAGUCAUUUUUAUGUCGCCUUUAUUGACAUGAUCACGCAAAAAGUGAUGUCUUAUAUCUAUAUGCUUAGAUCUUGAAUGUAACACGGGAUUUUUACUUAAAUCAAUUGCACUCGUGUUAUCGCAUAAAAUAGAUAUAACAUCAAAUUUAACAUUGUAAUCCGCUAAUGUUUGCUUCAUCCAUAAUAUUUGUGCACAACAUUUUGCGGCGGCAAUAUAUUCAGCUUCAGUGGUAGAAAUGGAUACGGAAUUUUGUUUCUUUGAAAACCACGAAACUAAACAUCCACCAAGAAAUUGACACGUACCACUAGUACUUUUUCUAUCAACCAAGUGUCCGGCAUAAUCCGAAUCAGAAAAACAUACUAGAUCAAAAGGUACUCCUUUUGGAUACCAAAGGCCUAGAUCAACAGUGCCUUUUAAGUAUCGUAAAAUUCUUUUAACAGCAGAUAAAUGAGAUUCCUUUGGUGCAACUUGAAAUCUAGCACACUUACAAACACUAUAUUGAAUAUCGGGUCUACUUGCAGUAAUAUACAAUAAACUUCCAAUCAUUCCCCGAUAUUUCUUAGUGUCGACAGGAAUCCCUUUAGGAUCUUCCGUUAAUUUAUCGGAAGUAGACAUAGGAGAUGAUAUGGGUCUAGCAUUUUCCAUUUCAAAUUUCUUGAGCAUUUCUUUGCAAUAUUUAGAUUGAGAAAUAUGAAUGCCCUCAUCGGAUUGCCUAAUUUGCAAACCCAAAAAGAAAUUUAAUUCACCCAUCAUACUCAUCUCGAAUUCUUUACUCAUAUUUUCAGAGAAUUCCUUACAUAGAUCAUUAUUUGUUGAUCCAAAAAUAAUGUCAUCUACGUAAAUUUGGACAAGUAGUAUAUCAUCUUUUUCUUGUCGCGUAAAUAGAGUUUUGUCGGCCGUUCCCAUCUUAAAAUUAUUCUCUAAUAGGAACUUACUUAGCCUUAGGGCUGUAAAAUGAUCCGGGUGAUCCCGGGUACCCCUCUGCUCAAGUACCGGAUCAUAUUAUUUUUAGCUUGUCCAGAUUUGGGUCCGGGAUCGUUUUAUUCGGAUCUAAACCGAUCCCGGGUAUUUGAAAUUCGGAUCUGAACCGGAUAUGAUCCAGUAUCGUAUUUUCUAUUUUUUAACCGGGUAGUUUAUGAUCCAUCGAAUAUGAGCCGGAUAUGAUCCACUAACACUAAGUAUCAUUAUUAUUUCAUUUGUUCAAAUAACUAUCAUUAGUCUAAGUAAACAUAAUAUUAUAAAGUAUAAUAAUUUUAAAUUAAAACUUAUAGUUAUAUAUUGAUAUAUAUCAUUUAUUAAAUAUAUAUGAAGAUAAUAAGUAUGAUCACAUUAAAUAAAUCAUAUUUUAUGAAGAUAUAAACUUAAAUAAGAUAUUAAAAUUUUAUAAAAUGAUAACUAUUUACUUGCAAAUAUGAUGGUGUUAAAAUAUAAUAUGUAUAUGAGUUUGAAUCGAAUAUGAACCGCGGAUCAUAUUCGGUUAUUCGGGUAGGAUCAUAUUAUGAAAAGUUAUAUGAGCCCGAAUCUGAGCGGGUAUAGGUGUGCUCGUAUCCGGGAUCAUAUAUUAUACGGGCUUAAUUUUUCCGCCAGAUUUGGAUCGUUUUCAAAACGAAUAUGAGACAUGUAUCAUAUUUUCGAGCCGGAUAUGAGCCGAGACACCGGAUAGUCCGUAUCGAUUUACAACCCUAGUAAAAUGUUAAAUUCGGAAACAAAUCGACAGUUUAAUCUGGAUUAACUGCAUCUUCAAAACCGGGAGGUUGCUUAACAUAAACUUCUUCUUCCAAUAUCCCGUUUAAGAAUGCAGAUUUCACAUCCAUUUGAUAUACUUUGAAAUCUUUAUGACACGCGAAAGCUAGAAACAUACGAAUAGACUCAAUUCUAGCUACCGGUGCAUAAGUUUCAUCAAAAUCAAUUCCUUCCAUUUGAGUAUAUCCUUGAGCAACUAACCUUGCUUUAUUACGAACAACCGUUCCAUUCUCAUCUAAUUUAUUUCUAAAUACCCAUUUAGUUCCAAUAAUGGAAGUAUUUUCGGGUAGUGGAACGAGUUCCCAUACUUUGCUACGAGAGAAUUGUGUUAAUUCAUCUUGCAUUGCGGAUAUCCAAUCCUCGUCAAGCAAAGCCUCUUUAGCAGUUUUAGGCUCAAUUUGCGAAAGAAAACUAAGAUGAUUUACAACAUUUUGAACUUGUGACCGAGUUUGAACUCCUUUAGUCAAAUCCCCUAAAACAUUAAUCCAAAGGAUGACUUCUAAUAACCGGGAUUUCUUUAGGAAGUUCUUCAUCGGUUUGUAACAAUUCUAAUGGAUUAUUAGGAGGGGAAAUUCCUAUAUCCAUAUUUUCAAAUUGACGGAUAACAUCUUCGACACCAUCUUGUUCGGCAUCUUCUUUAUCCACAAGAUCAAUAUACUUCGAGGGUGGUUUUGAUUCAUCAAAAGCAACAUUCAUAGAUUCUUCCACCACAAGAGUUUUAAGAUUAAAUACACGAUAUGCUUUACUAUUGGUAGAGUAACUAAGAAAUAUACCUUCAUUUGAUUUAGGAUCAAACUUUGUAAGGUAUUCUUUAGAAUUUAAAAUAAAGCAUUUGCUCCCGAAAACUCAAAAAUAACUAACUUUAGGAGUUUUACCAUAUUACAAUUCAUAGGGAGUCUUUUGAGUCAUAGGACGUAAUAAUACUCGAUUUAAGAUAUGACAAGCGGUAGACAUAGCUUCGGCCCAAAAAUAUUUAGGACGACGAUAUUCAUUAAGCAUAGUACUUGCCAUUUCUUGUAAAGUCCUAUUUUUCCUUUCUACAACUCCAUUAGAUUGAGGAGUAUAAGGUGCAGAAAAGUUAUGUGUAAUUCCAUUAGACUCACAAAACGUAGUAAAACUAGAAUUCUCAAAUUCCUUACCAUGGUCAGUCCUUAUAUAGACAAUGGUAUUAUUUUGUUGAUUUUGAAUCUUUUUGCAUAAAGAAGAGAAUGAUUCAAAAGCAUCGCUUUUAGCUUUGAGAAAUUUUGUCCACGUAAAUCGUGAAAAAUCAUCAACAAUGACCAAGGUAUAAGAACAACCUCCUAGACUUUGUACCGGAACCGGUCCAAUUAAAUCCAUAUGUAAUAGUUCGAGAGGUCUAGAGGUAGAUACCAUAAACUUAGCUUUGUGAGAUGCUCGAAUUUGCUUUCCUAUUUCACAAGCUUCACAAAUAUGAUCCUUUUUAAAGUUUAACUUUGGUAUACCCCUAACAUGAUCAUUAGUUGAAAUACUUUUAAUUAAUUUCAUGUUCGCAUGUCCUAAUCUACGAUGCCACAACCAUGGAUCAUCAAGAGUAGAAAAUAGACAUACAUUAGAAUGUUUGCUAAUAUCACAAGUAUACACAUUUUUGCUACAAGGACAAGUAAGCAUCAAUUUUCCAUCCUUAUUUAAAAUAGAACAAUGAGUAGGAUAGAAAAUUACCUUAUAUCCAUUAUCACAAAGUUGACUAAUGGAGAGAAGAUUAUACUUAAGUCCCGUAACUAGUUGUACAUUAGCAAUCUUGAAAUGUUCAUUACCAAUAUCUCCAAUACCAAUGAUACUACCCUUGCUACUAUCUCCAAACGUGACACUUCCAGCGGCAACCUUUCUAAUGCUAUUUCAANNNNNNNNNNNNNNNNNNNNNNNNNNNNNNNNNNNNNNNNNNNNNNNNNNNNNNNNNNNNNNNNNNNNNNNNNNNNNNNNNNNNNNNNNNNNNNNNNNNNNNNNNNNNNNNNNNNNNNNNNNNNNNNNNNNNNNNNNNNNNNNNNNNNNNNNNNNNNNNNNNNNNNNNNNNNNNNNNNNNNNNNNNNNNNNNNNNNNNNNNNNNNNNNNNNNNNNNNNNNNNNNNNNNNNNNNNNNNNNNNNNNNNNNNNNNNNNNNCUUUCUUGAUCUAAGGUAUGAGCUAAAAUCUUGGAGUGUUCAUCCUUCAACUUUUGAGUUUCUAACUCAAAUAUCUUGUCUUUUUCUUUCAAGGCAUGAACUAAUUCAAGGUUAUCUUUUUGAGAAACCGAAGUUGAUUUUUCUUGAGUUAAUGACUCAUUUUGGAUUUUCAAAUUCAACAAGUCAAUAUGAAGCUUAGUAUUAUCUCCAUUUAAUUGUAGCUUCUCAUUUUCUAAUUCCUCGGUUUGUAGAACUAAGGAAACAUUUUCAACUUCCAAUCUCAUAAUAAUAUCUUUACUCUUAUUAUGCUCAUUUUUCAAGAUAUCAUUUUGUUCACAAAGAGAUGAGAUUUCUUCCUCAUUUUUAAGAUUUAAAUCCUUAAUCCGAGAUAACUCUUCUUCUUGAGUUUUAUUCAACUUUUCAAUGUUUUCCUUCUCGGACCAUAGUGAGAGAGUACGUUGAUUAGCACUACUACUUAUUUUAUUUAUUUCAACCACCAAAUCAAUCAAAUCACUUUUACUCAAAUCCAAUAAAUGCAAUGAAGAUUCACUAAAGAGAUGUAAGUUAUGUAAAACUUUAGAUCGAGAACUUACCUCAUCAUUUGAAGUGGAGACAUCCGAUGACGAAGAAUCAUCCUCGAGAGCCAUCAAGCACAAGUUGACCACUUCUUCAUUAGUUUCCAAGAUCUCUUCAUCUUCACUUAAAUCCCAACCAUUUUCGGCCACGACAAUCCUUCCUUUAGAAAGUUUAGGACAUUCCCGUUUAAAGUGACCGGGUUGCUUACACUCGAAACACACAUCCUGUGCUUCCUCCGGAUUUUGUUCUUUUGGUUUAGGAGGAGUGUAAGUAUGGUUGUUAUUGGCAUGAUUAUAAGCAUUAGGGCUUUGAUUGACUUUGCCUUUGUUAUAGCCCGUAGUAGGAUAAUUACUCUUAUAAUUAGGAGUAUAGUUUUGAGAGUAAUUAGGCCUUCCAUUAGAGUUAAAAACUCUUUGUUGAUUAUUCGAUUUAAGGAAGCCUUUUCCAUACCUUUGAGCUUUACUUUGAAGUACACGACGAAGUUGUCUCGUUAAGAGAGCGAUCUCGCUUUCAUCGAGAUUUUGGAGUUCUUCAUUCAACUCCUCGUCGUUUUCAUCCUCAUCGAUUAAUAUGGACUUUAAAGCCAUAUUUUUCUUUUUGUCUUCCACUUUAGGAACGACAAUAUCCGGAACAUUAUCUUCUUCGUAAGCACGAAGAUUUCCGAAUAAGUUAUCGAUGUGGUAAUCAUUGAGAUUGUGCAUCUCUUUGAUAGUUGUAACUUUAACUUUCCAACUCGGAGGUAAAGAUUUAAGAACCCUACGAUUCUUCUCAUUUCGAGUAUAGUUCUUUCCGAGUUGAGCUAAUUCAUCGACUAUACGAGUAAAUCUUGUUUCCAUAUCGAUGAUAUUUUCUCCAUCUUGGAGUUUGAAGUUCUCGUAUUCUUGGAUCAAAGUAUCCAUUCGAGAAUCUUUUAUGUCGGUAGUUCCUUCAUAGGUUACUACUAACUUGUUCCACAUUUCUUGUGCGGACUUGCAAUUGUUUACUCGUUUAUAUUCUUUUUCUGCAAGUGCACUUGUGAGAACCAUUUCCGCUUUAGCGGCGAUAUUCAUUCUAUCUUCCUCAUCGUGAGUAUAUUCACUUACUUUCUUUUCGAUAGUAAUAUCGUCGACUAUUUUAGUCGGAAUAAUUGUACCAUCUUCUAUGGCCAUCCAAACUUUGACACCUUGACUUCUAGCAUAAAUGCGAAAUCUUGUUUUCCAUGUGGCAAAGUUCGUGCCAUCAAAUAAAGGAGGUCUAGAAUUUGAGAGACCUUCACUACAACCGAUGGCAUUGAUAAAAGCCAUAUCGGAUCUACUUUUUGUAGUGCUUAAAAAUCAAAUAGCACAAAUAAAAGCAACUGCUCUGAUACCAACUGUUAGGUCCGUAUAUAGGGAUAAUUAAGCUAGAAGGGGGGGUUGAAUAGCUUAAUCACCAGUUUAAAAACUUUAUGGCGUUUUAAAAAGUUUAUCCCCUUUUUAAAAGCUUGUAUCUAGAGUAAUGGCAGUUGUAAAUGCGGAAGCAAAAAGCAAGGAAAGAAAAAUACCACACGAGGGAUUUUAUCCUGGUUCGCGGUGGCUAACUCAACCGAUGGAGUCCACUCACCCCUAGUCCAGUCCCCGAGCUCCUCCCCGGACUCGAGAUUUUCUCUACUAAAAAGAUACUCCUUUAAAGUAGGCGGAGAAGCCUUUACAAAUAUAUAUCUUGGAGCGUAACUUCCCGUUACCUCCUCACUAUAAAUGUAAAAACACCUACAAAGCUUGUCUCGGAACGUAACUCCCCGUUACUUCCUCAAAGUCGAUGUAGAACCUUGUGUAGUCUUUGUACUUCUACACCUUUUGCCGGUCUCGGGUCUUAGGUAUUAGAUCUCGGGUCUUUCCUCUUCUUCACGGUGCAAUGACUAUUAACUCCCCGUCAAUACGUCAAGGACUUGGGUCUUAGAACGAAGAUCACCUCACUUCACUUCACCUCACUGCAAAAGUUAGAACACAAUAUCUACGAAAAUAUAUCCUUGUUUUAAUAAGAUUUUAGUCCGCUAAGUAAGUCCAAUAAUCACGGUCAGGUAUAAGGUUUGUCAAUUAUAACAAGUCCAACGGUGAUUAGUCCAACAAGUGUCCAACAACAGUCCAACAAUUUAUAUUGCGCGGAAAAUAUAAAUAGUUGAUUUUAAGUCGGAUUGAUUUUAAUAACCUGAGCAAACCGCGUACGGGCAAGCUACGAGAGUUAUAUUAAUUAGUGUGGAGUGAUUUAUAGAUAUAAUACGCAGUCGAUAAUCACACUCACACACACGGGAUCGGGAACCACGUAACUCGUAAGGUUAGUAUUUCCACGAAGCACGGCACAUAUGGAAACGUUCACCAAACGAGAAAGGGUAUGUUGGGCGUAGGGAUAUAAUCAGUUAAGCACAGAUAACACGCACAACAAUAACUAACUUAUUACCUUUGGCCUUAUAUCCGGCUUUCCGUGCCAAGGCAAAGAUCCCUCCAAAGUUUGGUGAGGAAAUCUCAAAGGAUACGAGUUAGGUUCCGGGACAAAACACACGCACAAAUAUAUAACGAGUGGCUAACUCGUGUGUUUUGUAAACAAAGAGAGCUUUAAAGAUGAAGAGAAUAUUUUUGUUCAAAAGCCCUUUGUCAAAAAUGGUCGGUUAAGACACGAGUAAAACGAAGCUAAAAUAACCACUUACAAAAAGUUCGCCGGAAAAAUUCGUCGGAGGUUCGACCGGAUUUUGGCUUUGCACACGAACUUUGGAGAGCCCUUCGGGAGGACAAAAAGAGUGGUAUGAAAAUGAGCUAAGCGAGAUUUGGCUAGGUUGGGUGGUACGAAGCCUCGGGGUUUAAAACCUUGUGUAUAUAACGAAGUAUAUGAAGAAUCGAAGGUUUUAAAGAUGAAGUAAAUAUGGUGGGUGCUUGAAUAAACUUUGGGAGAGUAUUUUCACUUCAAAAUCUCAGCAUAUAUUUGGC
rnacentral:lncRNA from 1 species